rnacentral:rRNA from 1 species
GAACGCUGGCGGCGUGCCUAAUACAUGCAGUCGAGCGAAGUUUUUCUGGUGCUUGCACUAGAAAAACUUAGCGGCGAACGGGUGAGUAACACGUAAAGAACCUGCCUCAUAGACGGGGACAACUAUUGGAAACGAUAGCUAAUACCGGAUAACAGCAUAAAUCGCAUGAUAUAUGUUUAAAAGUUGGUUUCGGCUAACACUAUGAGAUGGCUUUGCGGUGCAUUAGCUAGUUGGUGGGGUAAAGGCCUACCAAGGCGACGAUGCAUAGCCGACCUGAGAGGGUGAUCGGCCACACUGGGACUGAGACACGGCCCAGACUCCUACGGGAGGCAGCAGUAGGGAAUCUUCCGCAAUGGGCGAAAGCCUGACGGAGCAACGCCGCGUGAGUGAAGAAGGAUUUCGGUUCGUAAAGCUCUGUUGUUAGGGAAGAAUGAUUGUAUAGUAACUAUAUACAGUAGAGACGGUACCUAACCAGAAAGCCACGGCUAACUACGUGCCAGCAGCCGCGGUAAUACGUAGGUGGCAAGCGUUGUCCGGAAUUAUUGGGCGUAAAGCGCGCGCAGGUGGUUUAAUAAGUCUGAUGUGAAAGCCCACGGCUCAACCGUGGAGGGUCAUUGGAAACUGUUAAACUUGAGUGCAGGAGAGAAAAGUGGAAUUCCUAGUGUAGCGGUGAAAUGCGUAGAGAUUAGGAGGAACACCAGUGGCGAAGGCGGCUUUUUGGCCUGUAACUGACACUGAGGCGCGAAAGCGUGGGGAGCAA